GAUGAACGCUGGCGGUAUGCUUAACACAUGCAAGUCGAACGGACUCUUCGGAGUUAGUGGCGGACGGGUGAGUAACGCGUGAGAAUCUGGCUUUGGGUUCGGGACAACCACUGGAAACGGUGGCUAAUACCGGAUGUGCCGAGAGGUAAAAGAGAAAUUGCCUGAAGAUGAGCUCGCGUCUGAUUAGCUAGUUGGUGAGGUAAAGGCUCACCAAGGCAACGAUCAGUAGCUGGUCUGAGAGGAUGACCAGCCACACUGGGACUGAGACACGGCCCAGACUCCUACGGGAGGCAGCAGUGGGGAAUUUUCCGCAAUGGGCGAAAGCCUGACGGAGCAAUACCGCGUGAGGGAAGAAGGCUCUUGGGUUGUAAACCUCUUUUCUUAGGGAAGAACAAAAUGACGGUACCUAAGGAAUCAGCAUCGGCUAACUCCGUG
rnacentral:rRNA from 1 species